rnacentral:rRNA from 1 species
AGUGAACGCUGGCGGUAUGCCUAACACAUGCAAGUCGAACGGCAACACAGUAAGAUCUUGCUCUUACGGGUGGCGAGUGACGGACGGGUGAGGAGUACAUCGGAUUCUACUAUUUCGGGGAGGAUAACGUAGGGCAACUGCCGCUACUACCUCAUAUAUCCUACGGCUUAAAGCAGGGGUGCUUCACACCUUUCCUGAUUCAAUGAGCCGGUGUCGCAUUAGCUAGUUGGCGGGGUAAAGGCCCACCAAGGCAACGCUCCGUAGCUGACCUGAGAGGAUGAUCGGCCACACUGGAACUGAGACACGGUCCAGACUCCUACGGGAGGCAGCAGUGGGGAAUAUUGCGCAAUGGGCGAAAGCCUGAUGCAGCCACACCGCGUGAGUGAUGAAGGCCUUCGGGUCGUAAAGCCCUUUUAUUGGGAAAGAAAAGCAGUAGGUGAAUACCCCGCUGUUCUGACGGUACCUAAAGAAUAAGCACCGGCUAACUUCGUG